UACGAGGGGGGCGAGCGUUGUUCGGAAUUAUUGGGCGUAAAGAGCUCGUAGGCGGUCUGUCGCGUCGGCUGUGAAAUCCCGGAGCUCAACUCCGGGCCUGCAGUCGAUACGGGCAGACUGGAGUUCGGCAGGGGAGACUGGAAUUCCUGGUGUAGCGGUGAAAUGCGCAGAUAUCAGGAGGAACACCGGUGGCGAAGGCGGGUCUCUGGGCCGAUACUGACGCUGAGGAGCGAAAGCGUGGGGAGCGAACAGG
rnacentral:rRNA from 1 species